UUUAAGCUUUUCAGAGGAAUUUGCUCUUUAAUGGAUAAAACGCCAAAAUCUUACUUAAAUUUGUUAGUUCAAUUUGUAUACCACUAUAAAAACAAUUUAUAACUUUAAUUGUUUAAAUUUAUUAAAUUAAAAUAUAUUAAGUCAAGGUGCAGUAAAAAUUUAAGAAUGAAGUGAAUUACAUUACUUUUUAGUGAAAAAAAAAUUAUAAUAACACUUAGGAUUUGAAAGUAAAUUUGAAAUAGGAUGUCAAUUUGAAUCAAGCUCUAAAAUAUGUACACAUCGCC
rnacentral:rRNA from 1 species